UACGAAGGGGGCUAGCGUUGCUCGGAAUCACUGGGCGUAAAGGGUGCGUAGGCGGGUCUUUUAAGUCAGGGGUGAAAUCCUGGAGCUCAACUCCAGAACUGCCUUUGAUACUGAAGAUCUUGAGUUCGGGAGAGGUGAGUGGAACUGCGAGUGUAGAGGUGAAAUUCGUAGAUAUUCGCAAGAACACCAGUGGCGAAGGCGGCUCACUGGCCCAUUACUGACGCUGAGGCUCGAAAGCGUGGGGAGCAAACAGG
rnacentral:rRNA from 1 species